GAUGAACGCUGGCGGCGUGCCUAAUACAUGCAAGUCGAGCGCGAGAGUGAGGAGCUUGCUCCUCAUAAUCGAGCGGCGGACGGGUGAGUAACACGUAGGCAACCUACCCUUGAGAUUGGGAUAACUACCGGAAACGGUAGCUAAUACCGGAUACGACUUUUCCACACAAGUGGAAUGGUUAAAAGGCGUAUUUAUCUGCCGCUCAGGGAUGGGCCUGCGGUGCAUUAGCUAGUUGGUGAGGUAGUGGCUCACCAAGGCGACGAUGCAUAGCCGACCUGAGAGGGUGAUCGGCCACACUGGGACUGAGACACGGCCCAGACUCCUACGGGAGGCAGCAGUAGGGAAUCUUCCGCAAUGGACGCAAGUCUGACGGAGCAACGCCGCGUGAGUGAUGAAGGGUUUCGGCUCGUAAAACUCUGUUGUUAAGGAAGAACACUUGAGGUAGUAACUGGCCUUGAGAUGACGGUACUUAACCAGAAAGCCACGGCUAACUACGUGCCAGCAGCCGCGGUAA
rnacentral:rRNA from 1 species